AUGAUCAACAUUAGAGAGAAUGGCUACGUGUCAUCGCCGAAGGAGCAAAUAAUGAUGUCAUUAUGAAACUCUCAGGCAAAAGGAUAAUGUUGUGACG
rnacentral:ncRNA from 1 species